rnacentral:rRNA from 1 species
GACGAACGCUGGCGGCGUGCCUAAUACAUGCAAGUAGAACGCUGAAGGAGGAGCUUGCCUCUCUGGAUGAGUCGCGAACGGGUGAGUAACGCGUAGGUAACCUGCCUGGUAGCGGGGGAUAACUAUUGGAAACGAUAGCUAAUACCGCAUAAUAGUAGAUGUUGCAUGACAUUUGCUUCAAAGGUGCAAUUGCGUCACUACCAGAUGGACCUGCGUUGUAUUAGCUAGUUGGUGAGGUAACGGCUCACCAAGGCAACGAUACAUAGCCGACCUGAGAGGGUGGUCGGGCAGGCUGGGACUGAGACACGGCCCAGACUCCUACGGGAGGCAGCAGGAGGGAAUCUUCGGCGAAGGAGGGAAGUCUGACCGAGCAACGCCGCGUGAGUGAAGAAGGAUUUCGGAUCGUAAAACGCUGUUGUAAGAGGAGAACGAGUGUGAUAGUUGAAAGUUCACACUGUGACGGUACCUGACCAGAAAGCGACGGCUAACUACGUG